rnacentral:rRNA from 1 species
GACGAACGCUGGCGGCGUGCCUAAUACAUGCAAGUCGAGCGAAGUUUUUCUGGUGCUUGCACUAGAAACACUUAGCGGCGAACGGGUGAGUAACACGUAAAGAACCUGCCUCAUAGACUGGGACAACUAUUGGAAACGAUAGCUAAUACCGGAUAACAGCAUUACCUGCAUGGUUGAUGUUUAAAAGUUUGUUUUGCUAACACUAUGAGAUGGCUUUGCGGUGCAUUAGCUAGUUGGUGGGGUAAAGGCCUACCAAGGCGACGAUGCAUAGCCGACCUGAGAGGGUGAUCGGCCACACUGGGACUGAGACACGGCCCAGACUCCUACGGGAGGCAGCAGUAGGGAAUCUUCCGCAAUGGGCGAAAGCCUGACGGAGCAACGCCGCGUGAGUGAAGAAGGAUUUCGGUUCGUAAAGCUCUGUUGUUAGGGAAGAAUGAUUGUGUAGUAACUAUACACAGUAGAGACGGUACCUAACCAGAAAGCCACGGCUAACUACGUG